rnacentral:sRNA from 1 species
UCUUGAAGGCCAAGGCCAAAAUAUCCUUGAAAGGGAAGAUGAAAGGGGAAAAAGAAGAAGAGUAAAUGAGAAAAGCACUCACAUUAAAGGUUGCUUUGAGGGGUUAAUAGAACCAAGUUGCAAAGUGUCUAAAGAUUGCAGCUCAGAAAAUAAUGUGGCAAAGUCGUCAUUGGAAGGCCAUAGGCAUAUUGAUUCCUUCCCCAACACUUCCAGUGGCAGGAAAUUAGGUAGAGAUGAUGAUGAAAACUUAGUUAACAGCACUCAACUAAACUCCAGGGAUAAGAUAUAUAGCACACCACCAGAUAUGCACAAAUUGAAAUAUGCAAGUUCUCUUAUGAGUGAUGAGAACAAUAGUAGGGACAAUUCUGAGCUUGAAAAUUUACAAAGGAUGUACCCAUUUAAGAAGAGGAAGUUCUUCAACCAGACCUCAUCAUCCACUUCUGACAGGGGGUCUCAAUGCCAAGGCACGUUCGAUUCUUCUGAUACCACAAGGGUCAAUGACACAAAUCAUGCAAUUGAAGAAUCAUCCUCUAUAGUUGGUCAACAAGUGCAUUCUGGGUCCAAGGGUUGUAACGUGAAGCUG